rnacentral:rRNA from 1 species
UGCAGUCGAGCGGCAGCACGGGAAGCUUGCUUCCUGGUGGCGAGCGGCGGACGGGUGAGUAAUGUAUAGAAAUCUGCCCGGUAGUGGGGGAUAACCUGGGGAAACCCAGGCUAAUACCGCAUACGUCCUACGGGAGAAAGCAGGGGAUCUUCGGACCUUGCGCUAUCAGAUGAGUCUAUGUCGGAUUAGCUUGUUGGUGAGGUAAUGGCUCACCAAGGCGACGAUCCGUAGCUGGUCUGAGAGGAUGAUCAGCCACAUCGGGACUGAGACACGGCCCGAACUCCUACGGGAGGCAGCAGUGGGGAAUAUUGGACAAUGGGCGAAAGCCUGAUCCAGCCAUGCCGCGUGUGUGAAGAAGGCCUUCGGGUUGUAAAGCACUUUCAGUGGGGAAGAAAGCCUUGGGGCUAAUACCCUCGAGGAAGGACAUCACCCACAGAAGAAGCACCGGCUAACUCCGUGCCAGCAGCCGCGGUAAUACGGAGGGUGCGAGCGUUAAUCGGAAUUACUGGGCGUAAAGCGCGCGUAGGCGGUCUGAUAAGCCGGUUGUGAAAGCCCCGGGCUCAACCUGGGAACGGCAUCCGGAACUGUCAGGCUAGAGUGCAGGAGAGGAAGGUAGAAUUCCCGGUGUAGCGGUGAAAUGCGUAGAGAUCGGGAGGAAUACCAGUGGCGAAGGCGGCCUUCUGGACUGACACUGACGCUGAGGUGCGAAAGCGUGGGUAGCAAACAGGAUUAGAUACCCUGGUAGUCCACGCCGUAAACGAUGUCGACUAGCCGUUGGGCUCCUUGAGAGCUUUGUGGCGCANUUAACGCGAUAAGUCGACCGCCUGGGGAGUACNGCCGCANGGUNNAAACUCAAAUG